AUCCUUCUUCUAGAUGAAAAUAGACAUUGUUGCUUUUGGUGUUCAGAGAUAGAUGUGGCUACCCUGAUACAGGUUAACCUUCCACCACAGCACCUUACCUCAGUGGGGACAAAGAGGCCAGCAACAUGC
rnacentral:snoRNA from 1 species